rnacentral:rRNA from 1 species
CUACGUGCCAGCAGCCGCGGUAAUACGGAAGGUCCAGGCGUUAUCCGGAUUUAUUGGGUUUAAAGGGAGCGUAGGCCGGAGAUUAAGUGUGUUGUGAAAUGUAGACGCUCAACGUCUGACUUGCAGCGCAUACUGGUUUCCUUGAGUACGCACAACGUUGGCGGAAUUCGUCGUGUAGCGGUGAAAUGCUUAGAUAUGACGAAGAACUCCGAUUGCGAAGGCAGCUGACGGGAGCGCAACUGACGCUGAAGCUCGAAGGUGCGGGUAUCGAACAGGAUUAGAUACCCUGGUAGUCCGCACAGUAAACGAUGGAUGCCCGCUGUUGGUACCUAGUAUCAGCGGCUAAGCGAAAGCAUUAAGCAUCCCACCUGGGGAGUACGCCGGCAACGGUGAAACUCAAAGGAAUUGACGGGGGCCCGCACAAGCGGAGGAACAUGUGGUUUAAUUCGAUGAUACGCGAGGAACCUUACCCGGGCUUGAA